rnacentral:rRNA from 1 species
GACGAACGCUGGCGGCGUGCUUAACACAUGCAAGUCGAACGGAAAGGCCCUGCUUUUGUGGGGUGCUCGAGUGGCGAACGGGUGAGUAACACGUGAGUAACCUGCCCUUGACUUUGGGAUAACUUCAGGAAACUGGGGCUAAUACCGGAUAGGAGCUCCUGCUGCAUGGUGGGGGUUGGAAAGUUUCGGCGGUUGGGGAUGGACUCGCGGCUUAUCGGCUUGUUGGUGGGGUAGUGGCUUACCAAGGCUUUGACGGGUAGCCGGCCUGAGAGGGUGACCGGCAAAAUUGGGACUGAGAUACGGCCCGGACUCCAACGGGAGGCAGCAGUGGGAAAUAUUGCACAAGGGGCGGAAGCCUGAUGCAGCAACGCCGCGGGCGGGAUGACGGCCUUCGGGUUGUAAACCGCUUUCGCCUGGGACGAAGCGUGAGUGACGGUAAUGGGUAAAGAAGCACCGGCUAACUACGUG